GAUGAACGCUAGCGGCAGGCCUAAUACAUGCAAGUCGGACGGGAUUCAGGAGCUUGCUUCUGAUGAGAGUGGCGCACGGGUGCGUAACACGUAUGUAACCUACCUUUAUCAGGGGGAUAGCCUCUCGAAAGAGAGAUUAAGCCCGCAUAAAAUCACAGCACAGCAUUGUGUAAUGAUCAAAUAUUUAUAGGAUAAAGAUGGGCAUGCGGAACAUUAGCUAGAUGGCGGGGUAACGGCCCACCAUGGCGACGAUGUUUAGGGGAUCUGUGAGGAUGGCCCCCCACACUGGUACUGAGACACGGACCAGACUCCUACGGGAGGCAGCAGUAAGGAAUAUUGGUCAAUGGGCGGAAGCCUGAACCAGCCAUGCCGCGUGCAGGAAGACGGCCCUACGGGUUGUAAACUGCUUUUAUACGGGAAUAAACCCAGAUACGUGUAUCUGGCUGAAUGUACUGUAAGAAUAAGGAUCGGCUAACUCCGUG
rnacentral:rRNA from 1 species